rnacentral:rRNA from 1 species
AUUGAACGCUGGCGGCAUGCCUUACACAUGCAAGUCGAACGGCAGCACAAGGGAGUUUGCUUCUGAGGUGGCGAGCGGCGGACGGGUGAGUAAUGCCUAGGGAUCUGCCCAGUCGAGGGGGAUAACAGUUGGAAACGACUGCUAAUACCGCAUACGCCCUACGGGGAAGGAGGGACCUUCGGGCCUUCCGCGAUUGGAUGAACCUAGGUGGGAUUAGCUAGUUGGUGAGGUAAUGGCUCACCAAGGCGACGAUCCCUAGCUGUUCUGAGAGGAUGAUCAGCCACACUGGGACUGAGACACGGCCCAGACUCCUACGGGAGGCAAGGCACACA